GGAAUCUUGCGCAAUGGGCGAAAGCCUGACGCAGCCAUCCCGCGUGCAGGAUGACUGCCCUAUGGGUUGUAAACUGCUUUUAGUAGGGAAGAAACCCCUGGAUUUAUCUGGGGCUGACGGUACCUACAGAAUAAGCACCGGCUAACUCCGUGCCAGCAGCCGCGGUAAUACGGAGGGUGCAAGCGUUAUCCGGAAUCAUUGGGUUUAAAGGGUGCGUAGGCGGCUUAGUAAGUCAGAGGUGAAAGUUCUGGGCUCAACCGAGGAAUUGCCUUUGAUACUGCUUAGCUUGAAGGGAGAUGAGGCAGGCGGAAUGUGACAUGUAGCGGUGAAAUGCAUAGAUAUGUCAUAGAACACCAAUUGCGAAGGCAGCUUGCUGGUCUCUACUUGACGCUGAGGCACGAAAGCGUGGGGAGCG
rnacentral:rRNA from 1 species